rnacentral:misc_RNA from 1 species
AAAUAGAGAACUUAUAGGACCAAAGAUGAAAUGGACAAAUAAGCAGAGCUGCACCCAGAAAAUAGAUCCAAGUGCUAAAGCACAAUGGAGCAUUAGUUAAAUUUGUCAUCAAUUACCAUAACUUUUCAAUUCACAUGUAUUUGCAGCCACAAAACGAACAUAGACACAUCAAGGCAGAUCAUCAGUUUUUGAGAAUAUGCUUCCAUGCAAUGAAACAAACAAAAUGCAGACUAACUGAGCCAAGGAUGACUUCCCAAGGGAACAUUAGCAGCUGGGUCUUCUGAUUGGUGUCAAACACAGACUGCUGAGAUUGGUUGUAGCCUCUUCUCUCACAGAAGGACAGAAACACGGUGCUGGCUUCCACCAACAUGCAUGCCACCUGGGCGCCCUUGCAUGGUCCCAACAACAUGGGAACGGUAGCCAGAGAACUUGAAUUCUGGCUGCUGGAAGAUGUCGUCACUGUUGGAGGCACUCGUGAUAUCUGAGCAAGAAGUGGUAGAAGCACCAUCUCUGUGAUUCUCUGGCUGAUGAAUUUCAGAUUCUGAUGUAUUUCCAGCCAAAUGAAGUUCAGCAGAACCUGAGGCAUCCAGUCCAUGGCUGGUGGGAGUAUUGGACUCCUCAAGCUUUUUCACAUUAAGAAAGCGCCCACCGGAACCCCUAGCCCUCCUCAGUGCAUGAAGGUGCCGAGAUUCAUGAAGAUAUGGCUUACGACUUUUGAUGAGUUUGUUUUGAGCCUCAAGCUUGGCGCGGUACCGUCUCCUCCUGAGAAUUGCAUUAUACUGUUUAGCAUUGACAAAAAUGGGUUCAUCUUCCGUAUAUUCAGGAGGUAGUGGCACCCGAGAAGAAGCCAUUCCAUACAUCUGAGGAUGAAUCUGGUGCCAUUUCAUUGAUAGAUAUCCCAUCAGAGGGCAGCAAAGAAUACACAUCCUUUUCCAAUAAAAAAUGAUAGUGGUGUACUUUAAAUAAAUAUAUAGGUUAUUAUUGAUAGAAGAAUCAGAAAAUCAGAAUCUGAGACAACAUGGUGGGAUUGGAGAAUCCACAAGUUUGAAAGCACACAAAAUUUAGUAAUUAUCAAACACACUUGGGAUCAUCUGUUUGCACAGGCAGAUAUUCUCAUAUUGUAUAAUCAUUAUGCAUAAAUGCCUUGAAAAAUCAAAUUUCAUAAUGCAAGUGCUGGGAGUAAAGAAGAUUCUCCAAACUUAAAGGGAUCAAAAAAAUAAGAAAAGCAGAAAAGGAGAUGCUAAGUAAAAAGGAAUAAGUUAUACAUAGUGGAACCAUACUCCAUAGAUCUCUUGUUUUAGAUAUAGAAGAAUAUCAAAGGUUGGCAUUACCUCUUUGCACAAAAACUUUAAAGUGCCAAAUAAUCGUGGAUGCCAAGAGAACUACUACAGAAAAAAGAUGGUCUAGAGUCUCGGGAAUCAAAUGGUGGUACAUGGUUGAAGUGGACUCUUUCUGGACAGAGAACAUCUCAAGUAAAAAAUGUGCACUUGGACAGGGAAUGAAGAUGAUUUUGAAGUUUCCGUCAAACCUAAUGUACUCCCAAUUCCUAAAUAUAGGUUCCCUUUACAGUUAUUUCAAUAGAAUCAAGAUAAUAUUUGAUAUCAGAAAAGAUUAGAUUAUUUAAUUGGUUGUGAGAAGUCCAACUAUAGUUAACAUUUUGUGGAACCACAAGAAGAAAUUACCCAAAUGUCUCCCACACAAAAUUUCACUUUCUGAAUUUUGAUAGAAGUAAAGUUAGGCUUUAAUUAAUUUUGAGCACUACUCAAAUAUAGGAUUGGUCCUGGAUGUUAAAGUAUACCCAAACUGCACAGUUAUAAAAUAUUCAGUAUCCUGUUGAAGAAUCAUGACGAUAGGAAUGAUUUCCCACUCAGAUCUCUUUUUCGUUUUCUAAUCCAAUUGUAUGUUGCAUAUAAAUAAAAUUAAUAAAUGUUAGAGAGGAUGGAAAAGCAGCAGAAAAACACAAUGCAAGCACUUACCAUUGCCUGUGGCGCAUAAGCAGAUAGUAGGCCACCAAAAUAUGGUUCUGCAAAAUGGAUGGGAAAGCGGGCCUGAAACGGGAGAAUAAUAUAAGAGUCAACCCAUUCUCACAAUCCGAAAAGCACAAUCAAGCAUCAACUUACAAUGGAUUGGCUAUAGUCAACUUGAGAAGGGAAGAUAAAAUCCUGAGUUCCUAUUGAUGAUGCUAAUUUAGGGUCACCUCCCUCAGCCUUCCCAUGAGUUUCAUUAAAUCCUUCUCCCAUGCUAGCUACUUCAGGGUAAGAUUGACAAGUGGACUGAGUUGAAGAAGAAUCCUGGUCUUGAAAUUGAAAAGUUGAUUUCUUGGCACCAUGAAAAUUCUGUUGUGGAACCCCCAUCUUCAAGCAUAAACCUUCAGAUAAAGAUGACUGUUGGACUGUUGAUAAAGCAGAAAUCCCUAAUGGUUCGCAACCAAUAAUGUGUGGAGAUGUUUAAUGGGCAGAAUUGAUACCAGAAUCUUUCUUACGCUACUGCAUUUUUGAAAUUCAAACUCUUAGAUUCCAAUUAUAAACUCACCAGAUGUUGAACAAUGACCCUGAGGUUGAAUCUAUCUUCCUUUAUUGAUCACCAAGAAUCCAAGUAAAAGCAGCCAAUUAAAGAUUUUGAUAUACUAUGAUGUUAGAAAACCAGUAACACUUUUCUUUCUAAGAAGCACCAGUAAGAAAUUGCAGCAUUGAAAUAAAGAAGUCAAGAUGAUAGGAAGGAAAGACCAGUCAAGAAAAUUUGAUGAAAUUUGAGAGUAACCUAAAAAGGUAACUGCGAAGAUUCAAACAGAAUACACCAAUUUUAUGCUAGCACUCUCCCAUCCCCAGUUUCCCUGCCCCAACCAAGUAAAUCUGUGGUUAUAGAAGCUUCCUUAUGAGCAGGCAACAGGAUUAAUACCACCAUAACUAACAGCAUUUUUCUUUUGAGCAGAUGCUUUUCUAUGAGAAAUUAAAUAUUAGCUUUUUUUUCCUCCAGAUGGUGACCUUAACUACCAUCAUUCUAUUUUUAGUAUAUAUCCAUAAAACAUACUCCUCUCUACAUUUGCACGCAGGCUGCAGAUAACCAUGCCAUAAUUUAGAAUCACUAAGUAACUACUUUUGAGCUUACUUACAUUAGAAAUAUGCAAGCCACAAAAUGGGCAAUGUUUGAGCACAUCCCCAGACAACUAGUUUCACUAUUCAAAUUAAAGUAGAUAAAAUAGCUUAUUUUUACAUGUUUUUUAUAUGUUUCGUUAGGCUCCAAAUCAUUACAGAAAUCCAGACUCCAUUUAACGGCAAAAGAACCGUCAACACACAAAAUCAAAGAACUGGAAACUAAAAAUGAAGUGCAUGAAUGAGAACUUGAACUGGGACAAUCACGAUAGAGAAUUAUUUCAUAUAAAUCUAACUCGCUGACGCAAUCAAAGGGGAAAGUAUACAAAUUGUGCCAGUAAGCCCUGUCAUGCAAAGCCCAAAUCGCAAAAACUGGGGGAAAAACAUGAAGGGUUCACUAAGCUCUAUAGAAGAUAAUCGAGUGUUCUUUGGAAAUAAUUUGAUAUCACAAUGAACAAAGAAUCUGAUCAUUCAGAAGCAUAAAACUCCAAACCAAAGAGCAAACAGUUGAAUGCAAUCUUCCACAGAGGAAAGCUACCCGAACACAAAAUUUCCCAUCUAAAAUAUGAACCCAUAUCACGCAUGCAAAACCCAAAAGUAAAAUAUAAAACAGAAAACAAAAAUAAAGUUGGAAAAAAAAUACAAAACAAUAGUGAUAUAAAAGUAAACCAAUAACCCAUAACAAACUUUUCUUGCUUAUCUAAAAAACAAACUUUUCUUACCAAAACCCACAAUUUUCAACUUCUUCACCAUCUUAUGGCUCAAAUGCUACAAGAUAUCAAACCCUCAAUACCAUACAGAAGUACCCAACAAGCUAUACUCAUAAAGUGAAUAAAAAAAUAAAAAAUCAAACAAAAUAAAAAAACCCAGAAGGAGAAGAGUACAAAGGCCAAGAAAAGC